GAUAUCUCACACCUGCCAGCAUUUGUUUGAAAAGUUCAAAACCCAAGAUUAAAUUGAAAGAGAGCAAAAAAAUCCAACUACCAACUACUUCAACUAAACUAAAGAAGAAGCAGAAGCAGAGAGCAAAAACAAAACCAAAAACAAAAAAAACAAAAAAACACUAGCGAAUAAUUGGCCCGAAAUGGCGGCCACAAUGCCAAGCAAAUUGGCUGAGGCAAGGUCCAAGUAAACUUUAUUGAAGCUUAAAGAUGUAAAUAUUAUUUCGCGUACAUUGAGUGUAUAUUAUUGUUAAAUACAUGCCUGCUCUAUAAGCAUGGGGACCAACCGCUGCCGUUAAAAUUGUUUCCUCUGUAAUACGAUAAGCUGAUUAAUAUGUAAAAUUGUUCUAAGUAUGUUAACAUUUGUUAAUUUUCCAACAGCAAUAAAAUUGUAGUAUUGAAAUAUUCGUAUUUGUUGUAAUAUAACAAUAUUUAUAGUAUUUAUAUAAUUUAUAUUUGUAUCGAAUAUUUAUUCCGUUCACUCUAUAAUCAUCAAAAGGUAUAUAGUUAAAAGAUGUCAACUACUAAACAGUUAAAGUAUAUAGUUAGUGUAAAAGUUGGUAAAGGGUAUCUACUAGUCAGUAUAUUU